rnacentral:rRNA from 1 species
UACGUAGGGGGCAAGCGUUGUCCGGAAUCAUUGGGCGUAAAGAGCGUGUAGGCGGCCCGGUAAGUCCGCUGUGAAAGUCGGGGGCUCAACCCUCGAAUGCCGGUGGAUACUGUCGGGCUAGAGUGCGGAAGAGGCGAGUGGAAUUCCUGGUGUAGCGGUGGAAUGCGCAGAUAUCAGGAGGAACACCGGUGGCGAAGGCGGCCUGCUGGGCAGAUACUGACACUGAGGCGCGGCAGCGUGGGGAGCAAACAGG